CAUUGUUUGGUUUUUAAAGAACAAAUUACACUUUGGGUCCUGUGAGUAUUAGGGUACUGGCAAUUUGAGUAC